rnacentral:rRNA from 1 species
UACAGAGGUCUCAAGCGUUGUUCGGAUUCAUUGGGCGUAAAGCGCGCGCAGGCGGUCCUUUAAGUCUGAUGUGAAAGCCCCCGGCUCAACUGGGGAGGGUCACUCGAUACUGAUCGACUUGAAGGCAGGAGAGGGAAGCGGAAUUCCCGGUGUAGUGGUGAAAUGCGUAGAUAUCGGGAGGAACACCAGUGGCGAAGGCGACUUCCUGGCCUGUUCUUGACGCUGAGGCGCGAAAGCUAGGGGAGCAAACGGG